GUGGCUCAGUUGUAGAGUGCUUGCCUUGCAUGCAUGAAGUCCUGGGUUCAAUUCCUCAGC
rnacentral:tRNA from 1 species